ACUUAAAUAAUUUAAAUAAAAUAUUGAUUUGUGGUAUCAAAAAUAUGAAUAAUUCAUUUUAGGUU
rnacentral:tRNA from 2 species